rnacentral:rRNA from 1 species
CCUAUGGGGGGCUGCAGUGGGGAAUUUUGGACAAUGGGGGCAACCCUGAUCCAGCCAUGCCGCGUGCGGGAAGAAGGCCUUCGGGUUGUAAACCGCUUUUGUCGGGGAAGAAAUCCUCUGGGCUAAUACCUCGGGCAUGACGGUACCCGGAGAAUAAGCACCGGCUAACUACGUGCCAGCAGCCGCGGUAAUACGUAGGGUGCAAGCGUUAAUCGGAAUUACUGGGCGGGAAGCGUUGGAAGGCAGUGGUGAAAUCCCCGGGCGCAACCUGGGAACUGCAUUUGUGACUGCAAGGCUGGAGUGCGGCAGAGGGGGAUGGAAUUCCGCGUGUAGCAGUGAAAUGCGUAGAUAUGCGGAGGAACACCGAUGGCGAAGGCAAUCCCCUGGGCCUGCACUGACGCUCAUGCACGAAAGCGUGGGGAGCAAACAGGAUUAGAUACCCCAGUAGUC